rnacentral:rRNA from 1 species
UAGGGAAUCUUCGGCAAUGGACGAAAGUCUGACCGAGCAACGCCGCGUGAGUGAAGAAGGUUUUCGGAUCGUAAAACUCUGUUGUUAGAGAAGAACAAGGACGUUAGUAACUGAACGUCCCCUGACGGUAUCUAACCAGAAAGCCACGGCUAACUACGUGCCAGCAGCCGCGGUAAUACGUAGGUGGCAAGCGUUGUCCGGAUUUAUUGGGCGUAAAGCGAGCGCAGGCGGUUUCUUAAGUCUGAUGUGAAAGCCCCCGGCUCAACCGGGGAGGGUCAUUGGAAACUGGGAGACUGGAGUGCAGAAGAGGAGAGUGGAAUUCCAUGUGUAGCGGUGAAAUGCGUAGAUAUAUGGAGGAACACCAGUGGCGAAGGCGGCUGUCUGGUAUGUAACUGACGCUGAGGCUCGAAAGCGUGGGGAGCAAACAGG